AUGCAGAUCAUCUUUAUAAAUCUGAUAAUGAUGUCACCAAAUCAAAAUUCAAGAUUUCUGAAUUAUGAAGGCAAAAGGACUGUAAUGAGAUUUUAUUACCCCGAAGCAAAGUUAGCUAUCAGGCUGCCUUUGCUUCAAGAACAGGACCAAAUAGUUUGUAGAACUGUAAGCAGAUGGAAAUAUACUUGGUCCAGAUCUCUACCUGUACACAAAAAUCCAUCCUGUAACUGUCUCAUUUAA
rnacentral:lncRNA from 1 species